GAUGAACGCUGGCGGCGUGCCUAAUACAUGCAAGUCGAGCGAACAGAUGAGGAGCUUGCUCCUCUGACGUUAGCGGCGGACGGGUGAGUAACACGUGUAUAACCUACCUAUAAGACUGGGAUAACUUCGGGAAACCGGAGCUAAUACCGGAUAAUAUAUUGAACCGCAUGGUUCAAUAGUGAAAUACGGUUUUGCUGUCACUUCUAGAUGGAUCUGCGCCGCAUUAGCUAGUUGGUAAGGUAACGGCUUACCAAGGCAACUAUGCGUAGCCGACCGGCGAGGGUGAUCGGCCACACUGGAACGGAGACACGGUCCAGACUCCUACGGGAGGCAGCAGUAGGGAAUCUUCCGCAAUGGGCGAAAGCUUGACGGAGCAACGCCGCGUGAGUGAUGGAGGUCUUCGGAUCGUAAAACUCUGUUAUUAGGGAAGAACAAAUGUGUAAGUAACUAUGCACGUCUUGACGGUACCUAAUCAGAAAGCCACGGCUAACUACGUG
rnacentral:rRNA from 1 species